rnacentral:misc_RNA from 1 species
ACACCUCAACUCUCAUGGUUUUCCGUGAUGAGCUUGGACUUUGGGGGUUUGCUGGCUGCAGUCGGCUCCUCUGAAACAAAUUAGCUUGCCGGUAUUUGGUGGCGUCGCAGGUGUGAUAACUAUCUACGCUUGUGGUUUCCUGCCAGGUAUCCUUCAGUGAUGAAGGGUCGCUGGAGCUCAUAAAUGUCUCUCCCCAGUGAGGACGACUUCUUGAAU